UACGGAGGAUGCAAGCGUUAUCCGGAAUGAUUGGGCGUAAAGCGUCCGCAGGUGGCAAUGUAAGUCUGCUGUUAAAGAGUCUAGCUCAACUAGAUAAAAGCAGUGGAAACUACAUAGCUAGAGUACGUUCGGGGCAGAGGGAAUUCCUGGUGUAGCGGUGAAAUGCGUAGAGAUCAGGAAGAACACCGGUGGCGAAGGCGCUCUGCUAGGCCGUAACUGACACUGAGGGACGAAAGCUAGGGGAGCGAACGGG
rnacentral:rRNA from 1 species